rnacentral:rRNA from 1 species
AUUGAACGCUGGCGGCAUGCCUUACACAUGCAAGUCGAACGGCAGCACGGGUGCUUGCACCUGGUGGCGAGUGGCGAACGGGUGAGUAAUACAUCGGAACAUGUCCUGUAGUGGGGGAUAGCCCGGCGAAAGCCGGAUUAAUACCGCAUACGAUCUACGGAUGAAAGCGGGGGACCUUCGGGCCUCGCGCUAUAGGGUUGGCCGAUGGGUGCUUAGCUAGUUGGUGGGGUAAAGGCCUACCAAGGCGAAGAUCAGUAGCUGGUCGGAGAGGACGACCAGCCACACUGGGACGGAGACACGGCCCAGACUCCUACGGGAGGCAGCAGUGGGGAAUUUUGGACAAUGGGCGAAAGCCUGAUCCAGCAAUGCCGCGUGUGUGAAGAAGGCCUUCGGGUUGUAAAGCACUUUUGUCCGGAAAGAAAUCCUUGGCCCUAAUACGGUCGGGGGAUGACGGUACCGGAAGAAUAAGCACCGGCUAACUACGUG